UACGUGGCAGAUCCUAGACCUUGCAUGAACAGCUUCAUGUGAUAGCUAAUGCCAUACCAUGACGUUUGGCAACUGCAAGUGGAUUCUCUUCUUUCUCUAACGGCCAGACACACGAGCAAAGCAAAUUAAUAUCCAUUUGGCGUUUCAUAUUCAAGAGGAUCUUCUAUUGACUAUUGAAUGAUGAAGAUGAGUUCCAAAAGCGAGACAAUAAAACCAAAGACUGAUUUUGAACUCGUUCUAAAUUAUUCUAAUCAAGGUAUUUGGAAAGAUGACUCGGGUGCAGGUGCAAAUGCAGCUUGUCGAAUAGACAAGACAUUUUCUGCCACUGACCCCCUAUCUGAAAUAGUUUGGUCUCCAGAUAAAGGUUUCGGUCUCAAAUGUGUUGAUUCAAGUUUUACUAAUAAAAAGACCUCUCUUUUGGGGGAAUGUUGAACUAAGCAUUAUGGUUCUUGCUCUGCUCCAAAGUGUUACUGAUGAAAGUUCUGCCACAGAUAAACCAACAGAUGACGUUUUUGUAGAACCUAUUGCUGUAAUAUGCUCAAAGAGUGAUGUUUCCUCCACAGAUACUCCUGCUAGGCAUCCAACAAGUGAUUAUUGAUACAGGAUUUGGUGAUAAUAUGGAGAAAAUGAACACUGCAAGAGAAACACCUAAUUUGCCAAACAGUAAGAAGGAGAAUGUAAUGAAUGACUUGGAGAAGAAUAUUUGUGCUCAAGCCAACAUUGGAACAGCUAUAAUAUCUGAGAUAAAGGGAAACAAAUCUACUAUUUCAGAUAUGUCCUGUCAUCAUCAUUUUAUGGUCAGGUUGAUGAAAGGCCGGUUAGUAAUUUAUUACUUCAAGCAGAUGAACCUAAAUGCAACAUGGAAGAAAAUCCUUCACCAAGUAAACAUUGCAAUGGAAACAUAGAUACUGGUAUUGUCAACCAGGUGGUUGAAAUAGAAGAUGGAUUAUAUACUAGGGUUGAGCAUAUACAAUCGAAUGUAAAGGUUCUGGUGCUCUAGGAAUAAAUUUAAUAUCUUCUGGCAUCAGUCCUUCACAAAAACUGGAAUCAACUGCAGAGAAUGAUUUACAAACUUUCAACUAUGAGGCUACUUGAGCAGCAACAAGCGCAGUUCUUGUUUCAAAAUUCAGUGAGAAUAAUAAAAAAAAUCCAGGUCAAUGAAAAGAUGCUACUAUGCAGUAAGAACCAUCCAGUCAUGCCUUCUCCAUCUAAUAGCAGGAUUCAAAUGACAAGAAAUGAAGGUAAGGCAAAGUCCUUAUCAGAUGAGGAUUCAAAUGUCAGUUUAUCAAAGGAGGAAGAGGGCCAUUUAAGUGUUGAAUGCUUCCACAGUGCUGGGUUGUUUUUGGCAGGAAGAGAAGCAGGUUUCAACAAGUGACAAUUGGAGUAAAAAAUUCAAAAAGCAAACUCAAGAAACUUCAUGUUCUAAAUCCUAUGUUAAACUGGAUAGCUCAUUCAUGAACUUGAUUUCAAACAUGAUCAAAGGAUGCUCACAAUCAAUUCAAGAUGAGGACAAGUCUUUGGCUCUUAACCUUGAAAAUCCCAAUCAUCAUCUUCAACAGCCAGAUCAGAAGCUUCUCACGUGCAACAAGAAUCAAGAUCCAGAGCUAAAAAAUGUAGGGUUCAGAUCAAAUGUUCAGUCUAUGGUUGGUGCAAAAUUUAAGAAUGUUGGAACAAUAAUGUCUCAAGUCGGAGAGGCUUCUAAAGAUUUUGAGCCAGGUACUAAGGUACAUGGAAUUGAUGCCACUCCAACAACCUUCUAUGCAGAGAACAAUAGCCUUUACAGACAGUAUUUGCAACCAAAUAAGCUUGAAAUAUCUGAAGGGAGAUUUGAUGCCUGUCCACCCAUACAGACGCAGACAAGACCUAUAAAUUCUCUCAACAGUCAUGAACACUGGAAAAAUAACUCAUAGGAGAAUGAAAAUUGUUACAACUUGGAGCUAACUAAGGAGAAAGAAGGAAUGGCAUUACUGUCAUUACAUUCAACUUCAACUAGACAAAACACAAAUGAUAAGGAGAAUGUCGAGUCUUAUGCACUGUAUGAGAGAAAGGAAAUCUGUCAUAGAAGUGAUAAUGUGGAAGGUCUCUGGAUAAAUCGUUUUUUACCAAAGUCAACUUCCCCCUUGGUAGUUUUUGACCACCUUAAUGAGAGAGGUGGUUCUGAAGUCCAUUCUGCGUCUUGCGCAAUGCUUCCACAUUCCCAUAAACACAUUUCUCUGAAAAGCUGCAAGAUUGAAGAGGCCAGAGAACAAUCUACUGAUGACCAACUGCUCGCUGAGGCUCAAAAUUUACAUAACUGUGGUAUCAAUAAAGAGGAUUCCACUGUCCUUAAGGAUGAUAAGGGAAAUCAAUAUCACACAGCAAAGCUGCAUAAGUUCAAUUCCUUUACACCUUUCCCAGGAUUUAGAGAUUCAGGGCCAAUGGUGUCCAUGUUUGCAAGGAGAUUAGGUGCCAUCAAACAAUUCCAACAUACAGAAUAGUCUACUUCACAUAGGAAGACAUUAUACAGUGGUGGUGAUCCACCUCAGAAGCUGGUGCCGAGAUUCCAACAGAAAAAAAAAAAAAAAAAAACUAAACUAAACAAGAAAAUGUUAGAUUUCCUUUGGAGGCAAAGUGUCUACCAUUAACAGCUCCAAUUUAAUUAUUCUAUCUUUUGUGGACAAAGUUGUCUUUCUUUGCUUUCGUAUAUAACUAAUUGUAUGUGAAAGGAAGCUUAAAGUUAAAGAUGCUUCACCCACCCACCCAACACGCAUCAUCAAAGACGAGCUAUUCCAAGAAUUUGCUUUGUCUUUGAAAGGAAAGUGGUGCUAAUCUAGCUUACUUUCCGUUGAAAUUUGUAAUUUUGUACAUUGCUUGUGAAUAAGACACUUUCACGUGGUUUCUUGUAUUUUGGGUUGAUAAAAAUAUGAAUCCAAGCUUGCUUGAAUUGUACUUUUUU